GAUGAACGCUGGCGGCGUGCCUAAUACAUGCAAGUCGAGCGAACAGACGAGGAGCUUGCUCCUCUGACGUUAGCGGCGGACGGGGGAGUAACACGUGGAUAACCUACCUAUAAGACUGGGAUAACUUCGGGAAACCGGAGCUAAUACCGGAUAAUAUAUUGAACCGCAUGGUUCAAUAGUGAAAGACGGUUUUGCUGUCACUUAUAGAUGGAUCCGCGCCGCAUUAGCUAGUUGGUAAGGUAACGGCUUACCAAGGCAACGAUGCGUAGCCGACCUGAGAGGGUGAUCGGCCACACUGGAACUGAGGCACGGUCCAGACUCCUACGGGGGGCAGCAGUAGGGAAUCUUCCGCAAUGGGCGAAAGCUUGACGGAGCAACGCCGCGUGAGUGAUGAAGGUCUUCGGAUCGUAAAACUCUGUUAUUAGGGAAGAACAAAUGUGUAAGUAACUAUGCACGUCUUGACGGUACCUAAUCAGAAAGCCACGGCUAACUACGUG
rnacentral:rRNA from 1 species